GAUAGAACUCCAGACUUCUAAGCUGGAUAUGUAGGUUCGAUUCCUACCGGGGGGA
rnacentral:tRNA from 1 species